AAAGCCAACAGUAAGUAAAGGGAUAAGGAGUAUCAGAGGGCUUUCAAGAAACCAUUUUAGGUUGGAGGCUGCUGGGAUUUGAGAGGGUUUAAAAUCAAUAAAUAUACCAAACUUGAGCCUUCAAGACUCCUCUGCUUUUUAAAAAUUAAAGGAACUUUCAGCUAGGAAAAGGAUAAUAACCAGUGAUCUACCACGCAGCAUGGAAGUUCUACUGUGAGUCAGUUUCCCCAAGUCAAAGCUGUUGGAUGACUGAUGCCCUGACUAAUUAAACAAGUAGCCAAGGUUCAUAAUUCUUGGACAAAUCCUGUCCCACCCAGAAGGCUACCCUGCCCCACCCAUUGUGAGCAAGAAAGCUCUUUGAUGUGAGGAAAUGGAGAGAAGGAAAUAACAUUUGUUUGAGAAAGUGAGAGCAAAUGGCAAUGUCAGGAUGAUGCCUACCCACUUUGACUCUUCUGAAGGAUGCAGAAGCCCCUAUGAAGGCACACAUCUGAUUUUUCAGGGCUACUGAAGGAUUGUUCAAUGGGCUGUAACAAGAAAACAAUUGCCAGUGCCAGUAACAGUAAUGACCUAGCUGGAAACUUCAUGAGGAACUCUGCUUUACUCAGUCUUGAGAUAACAGAGACAUGCCACCUGCAUGCACUACCUCCUUGCAUUCUGCCACCAUGUCACCAAUCCCUGACGGUAUCAUUCAGCUCUCUCUGACUUCAAAUAUAGUUCUUUGUGAUAGCAACAUCCAAAUCGCUUGAGAAACACCUGAGAGUCUUCUGUGGUUUAACAUAGUAUCAGGACUUGUUUAAGUGCUAAUAAACAUGGGUGUAAACACAUCGCAAGAGUCUCUUCCAGAACCCUUUCUGUGCACUGGUGAAACUUCCUGCCAUCUGCUGGAAGCUUGCCUAUCCUUUAGAGAUAGCUGUGAGCAGGGGGAAGGUACCAGACUAAGGGUGUACAGGGCAGUGAACCAAUGGAAUCUCACAGCCAAUAUUGGGCUGCCUGCCGUCAGCCACCAGAGGUGACAUUCACUCUACAAGAAAAAAUUAUUAAUGCUAACACCAUCCUGACUUUCUUCAGGAUCUCAUGGACAGAAAUUUAGAGGUUUAUUUCAAACAUUCAGCUUGGGUAAUCGCAAAUCUUACUUUUUAAUUCCAGAGGUCUUGGGAACAGUGCCAGAGCUGAGCUAAAGGGGAUAUCAUUCAUUAUCAGUAGUCUAACCUAUGCUGAGAGACAGAGUCCUCCAGCACCAGCAUGUCCAAAUUUCAGAGCAUGGUUCCUCCAUAACUCAAGAAGUAUGAGUUUCUUUUGUGAAAAAUUAAAGCACAGUCUGUGGUGUUAUAUGAACAAAAAUUUUAAAUUGUGGUACUUUCGCCAUCCACAUUUGAUUUGUUGAGUUGCAAUCAGGUGUGGUUCAUGAAAAGCAUAUAAACUAUGGAGGUGCUUCCACCAGCCAUCAGUACAAAGAAAUCACCAGUGUUUAUCAAUUUUUAUGCUAUAUUUUAAGAUGUCAUGCUAUCAUUACCUGGAUCUGUAAUGUAUCCAAAUCUCUUUUGGGGAAAAAAAAAAAAAAAAAAAAAAAAAGCCAGUAGUUCUAUCUUAGGCAUUCCAAUACUUUGCUCUUUAAGGAUAUAUGUGUAGACAGUGAAUAGAUCCAACUGCCGUGAGAAAAGAAUAGAUGCAUGCCCUGCCCUGGCCCAUUACCCUCUUAUUCAUUUCAAUACACUGCUUGAUUUGUAACUAUCACUCCUUGCUCAGCUAUUUAUUUUAUGGUAGCUCAUUGCAAUUCCUGUCAUUGCUUCCUCCUUAUUUUUCCAUUUUACCUGAUGCAGCUUGGCAUGUUUGAUAAGCGUAAGUGGGCCCAACUCAGUCUUGGCAUCUUCAAGCACAGUGCAACUGACAUCAGUCAGAGCCACUAAUAACAGGAUGGACUUGGCACCAUGGAUGCACUGCAGGUAUCAUUGCAAACCGAUGACUUCAUUUCUGCCUUUAUCUGUUUCACCCACCAUCAAGGCCUCAAAACCCAAACGUGAAAUUGUGCUUAGUUUCAAGAAACAUGAGAAUUUUCUUCAGUGUUUUCUACCUGUCUCUACUGCCACUCUAGCUUCAGAUUUCCAUUUCUCUUGGUGUUUUCUGCUCUCAUCAUGGGACUAUGUUUAUUCCCAUCCUCUAUGGUCUCAGCAUCAGGACUCGAGAAGAUGAGGCAGUUUGAGCUGUGCUGUAUUAUUUAUCUCACCUAUUUUCCCUUCAGCAAGAAAUGACUCUGAACUCUUCCUCCUUCCACUCUCCCCCAAAUUUCUCCUCUUCUUUCCUCAGUAUUAAGAGUCAGCAGAAGUAGAAAUCCUAGGUAUUCAAGUGGUGGCAGAGAUUUAUUUUUUUUAUUUGUUUUAAUUUUGCAUUACAUAUGUAUGUCUAUCUCUGGUAAAAGUAAGUUGUUUUUCUAAAUGAAAGGAUGCCCAAUAUGUUUAUCUGUUAAUUUUGAAUUCACAAGAAAAAAUGGAACAAAAUGCUACAACUGUUGCCAUCAUCUAGAAGGAAUAAAAAUUUCAGACUCUGGUCCCAGCUUUAUGCAUUUGAAAUGCAGAUUUCAGUAUUUCAGUGCUAGCUGUUUUAUAGGAAAUACAUAGGUAAAGCUUCUUGAAAGAAAUGAGGUACAUCUAUUUGCUUAAUCUCAGAAGAGAGGAAAAAUGAUUGUAAUGCUUCUGUUUUCAGAGUAGUGGAUCGAUCUUGCUUUAUUUUAAGAAUCUUUAAAUAUUGGAUUUAUCAGGGUCAUCGCAUAAAAAGUGGGAGAUUGCCGGGUGUGAUUUCCUCUCUUCUCUACAAUCUACUCUGCAGCAUCCAGGAGAAUAAGUUAUGUGAAAUAAUUAAAUUACAGCAAUAAAUGUUAGGCAUCUAACAUUGCUUUGUGAAAUUAAAGCAUAAAAGCAGGCACAGGAAGGGUAGAAAACAUAGAGAAAAAUCUGCAGAUUUUACAAGAGGUGUGGACAGAGAAGGGAGAACAAGGAAAUUGUACAGACUUUUAUCACAACUACUUAUGACUUUUUCUGGGGGUUGUAUUUCUUUGUAGUCUUCCUCUACCCUCUUGACUCUCCCUAUAAAGCAUUUUAUGAGACAUGUUAAGUAUUUUAUGUAAAAAAUAAGUUGUAUCACAUUGCACUGUAGGUCAAGGCAGGAAGGACACAUUGCCUGAAUAGCUUGUUAAUCUCUUUCAUCUUUCUCAUGCUGUCAUUAAUGCUUAUCUGUUCCCAUAGCUAUUGCAAAGUCAUCUGUUUUCUCCAGUGGCAUAGUGCAAUAAUAAAAUCUUUGAUUUGACAUACAA